GAGUUUGAUCUUGGCUCAGAACGAACGCUGGCGGCAUGCCUAACACAUGCAAGUCGAACGAGAUCUUCGGAUCUAGUGGCGCACGGGUGCAUAACGCGUGGGAAUCUGCCCUUGGGUGCGGAAUAACUUCUCGAAAGGGAUGCUAAUACCGCAUAAUGUCGUAAGACCAAAGAUUUAUCGCCCAAGGAUGAGCCCGCGUAAGAUUAGCUAGUUGGUGGGGUAAAAGCCUACCAAGGCGACGAUCUUUAGCUGGUCUGAGAGGAUGAUCAGCCACACUGGGACUGAGACACGGCCCAGACUCCUACGGGAGGCAGCAGUGGGGAAUAUUGGACAAUGGGCGAAAGCCUGAUCCAGCAAUGCCGCGUGAGUGAUGAAGGCCCUAGGGUUGUAAAGCUCUUUUACCCGGGAUGAUAAUGACAGUACCGGGAGAUAAGCUCGGCUAACUCCGUGCCAGCCGCCGCAGUAAC
rnacentral:rRNA from 1 species